CAUAGUUAGGGUUUGCUGUACUCUACCGUCCUGUUUUCUUCUAAAUUUGACCAGAUUAAGCUCAAGUUGAUCCCUCUGAACCCUCCGUAAUCCGCUGACCUGUACUCCACUCAACGCUUUUGCUACUCUCAACCAGGAAACUCGACUCCGGUCUAGCCCACUGCGCUGUCCUGUGCUGUAGUGAAGCGUGUAGGAGAUCACUACCAUACGUUACCUAUGGCCAGGUGAACAGAGACCAGUGACUGGCCCAGAGUCAGAGCCCAGAGGUGCAGACUGUGCAUGGACUUCACGGCUUUCACGGACAGCAGCACCUCCUUCACCGAGUUGAACUCUAUUCCUUUAGGAGACCCUGGAAACAGCAGUAGGAUCAAAUGAACACACAACAGGUCCCGUACCUUCCAUGAGAAUCCUGAAGACGUCCCUGAGGAUGGUGACGGUGGUGCAGAGGACGAAGACGGAAAACAGGAACGUGCAGAUGGGAUCUGCGACUUUGUACUCGGGCUGAAAGAUAAGCGGAAAAAAAUGAGAUUAAAGGAGGCUUGUGAGAGAUUCAGUGAAGAGACUUCAGAUGGUGUUUUCCACAGUCACGAGGUCAUAAAACGCUCAGGGCAGGAAAAAAAAAAAAGGCAACAUUUUGCAUGAUGACAGGAAUAU